rnacentral:rRNA from 1 species
GACGAACGCUGGCGGCGUGCUUAACACAUGCAAGUCGAACGGAAAGGCCCCUUUGGGGGUACUCGAGUGGCGAACGGGUGAGUAACACGUGAGUAACCUGCCCUUGACUUCGGGAUAACUUCAGGAAACUGGGGCUAAUACCGGAUAGGAAUCCUUGCUGCAUGUUGGGGGUUGGAAAGCUUCGGCGGUUUUGGAUGUACUCGCGGCUUAUCAGCUUGUUGGUGGGGUAGUGGCUUACCAAGGCUUUGACGGGUAGCCGGCCUGAGAGGGCGACCGGCCAAAUUGGGACUGAGAUACGGCCCAGACUCCUACGGGAGGCAGCAGGGGGGAAUAUUGCAAAAUGGGCGGAAGCCUGAUGCAGCAACGCAGCGUGCGGGAUGACGGCCUUCGGGUUGUAAACCGCUUUCAGCAGGGGCGAAGCUUGUGGUGACGGUACCUGCAGAAGAAGCACCGGCUAACUACGUG